UACGUAGGGACCGAGCGUUGUCCGGAUUCAUUGGGCGUAAAGAGCUCGUAGGCGGCCACUCAAGUCGAAUGUGAAACCUCGAGGCUUAACCUCGAGCCUGCAUUCGAUACUGGGCGGCUAGAGUCUGGUAGGGGGAUCUGGAAUUCCUGGUGUAGCGGUGGAAUGCGCAGAUAUCAGGAGGAACACCGGUGGCGAAGGCGGCUCACUGGCUCAUAUCUGACGCUCAGGCGCGACAGCGUGGGGAUCAAACAGG
rnacentral:rRNA from 1 species